rnacentral:rRNA from 1 species
AGUGAACGCUGGCGGUAGGCCUAACACAUGCAAGUCGAACGGCAGCACAGUAAGAGCUUGCUCUUACGGGUGGCGAGUGGCGGACGGGUGAGGAAUACAUCGGAAUCUACUUUUUCGUGGGGGAUAACGUAGGGAAACUUACGCUAAUACCGCAUACGACCUACGGGUGAAAGCAGGGGAUCUUCGGACCUUGCGCGAUUGAAUGAGCCGAUGUCGGAUUAGCUAGUUGGCGGGGUAAAGGCCCACCAAGGCGACGAUCCGUAGCUGGUCUGAGAGGAUGAUCAGCCACACUGGAACUGAGACACGGUCCAGACUCCUACGGGAGGUAGCAGUGGGGAAUAUUGGACAAUGGGCGCAAGCCUGAUCCAGCCAUACCGCGUGGGUGAAGAAGGCCUUCGGGUUGUAAAGCCCUUUUGUUGGGAAAGAAAAGCAGCAGGUUAAUACCCCGCUGUUCUGGCGGUACCCAAAGAAUAAGCACCGGCUAACUUCGUG